rnacentral:RNase_P_RNA from 2 species
GCUACAAGCCGUUCUAUCGCCUGCGGUUAUCAACCGCAGGAGGAAAGUCCGGGCAACACAGAGCGCCACACCACCUAACAGGUGGGGCCAUAAGGGGCAACUCCUAUGGUACAGAAAGUGUCACAGAGAAUUACCAAACCUGUACAGUUUACGGGAAGGGGUGAAAAUGCAGGCAGACCCUGCAGUUUUAUGCGGUAACGCAUAAAAAGGACAAACCUUGUGGGUUGAAAGACCAAAUAUACCGGCUUUUUUUUGACAAAUGUCAAAAAAUAAAAGUUGCUCGCUUAAUGCCGGGGGGUGGGUCGUUAGAUUCUGUCAGUAAUGGCAGAACCAGAUAAAUGAUAGAACGUUUUUCUGCAAAGAAAGGCGACAGAAUCCGGCUUACAGGCUUGUAGCUUUU